rnacentral:sRNA from 1 species
GGUUCUUCCUCCUUCCCCCCCUUGUCUCCCCCUCCUCUCCUGGACCUUCUCCGCCUCCCCAGUCCCUUCUCCUCCCCGUCCCUUCUCCUAGUCCCUUCCGCUCUUCCCUGACCCUCAGAGCUCUGGAGACCGUCCCCCAUCCCCUGACCAGCUACACAUUUUACAACUAGCGCACUUAGGUUGGGGAGGGGUCUGUUGUGCGUCGGUGGGGCCCACGUCCUCCUCCCAACAUCUUGGAAUCAGUGACCCGCGCUGGCCUGGCUGCCGGGUUUAAGCCCUCAGGGACCAAAGACACAAGCUCCAGUUUCCUCUAAGAAAAGAAAGCGCCCAAGAAUGUGGGGGUGAAACUCCCCUGUAAUUAGGAUCGCCAGAAUGUUAUGGAACAGUUCAAUCCUGGGCUGCGAAAUUUAAUAAACCUGGGGAAAAAUUAUGAGAAAGCUGUAAAUGCUAUGAUCCUGGCAGGAAAAGCCUACUACGAUGGAGUGGCCAAGAUCGGUGAGAUUGCCACCGGGUCCCCCGUGUCGACCGAACUGGG